GGACCUUCUGUACCUUUUUUCUUUGACAGUUUAAUCUCUAUUAAAAGGUGUUGCUUUUUAGCCACUCUCUUGCUGCGUCCGAAACCGCCUACUUCAUACUAUAUAGUAUGCGAAAAGCAGUAGGCGAGGCGAGUAGUAUGUCCGAAUACAUAGUAUUCGAAAAACAGUAUGCGAAAAGUACCCGGAUGACCUACUACUUCCGGUUAGAUUUUGCAGCGUGCAUACGAUGGACACUUCACUAUCCCAUGAUGCCCCGGGAGAGGAGUUAUCCAACGAAGAAGAAGAGGCAUGCGGCUGUUUUCGCACUGAAAUGACAUUACGUGAUGACGACGUAUGUCACGUGAUGUAGCAACAUGGCGGAUGUAGUAUGUCCGAAUCUCAUUUAUACUACCAGGAUUCAUCCUAUACAGUACCUACUGUUUUAACGGCAAAGUCACAUGACCGAUACAGCUUAGAUGAUUGGCUAAGAACAAUUGUGUGGACAACUUGAAUGCCAAUAGACCCCUUCAAGGUCAUGCAAAAACACGCUCGGUGUACUUGCGUGUUCAUUGGCAGUCUGUAACAGAUUUUGUUGGACUUCAUGCUCGGUACAUCAUAUGCACACAUGCGCAUCUCAGAGAGACCAAAGAAAAGAGAAGUGCAGGGAGGGGACAGCGAGGCCAGUGAAAGUAGAACAGAGCUGCAAUGCAAAGAGGAGAAGAACCAGGCCUGCUAAAAAUACAGCAUCUCCAAGGAGGACAGAAAUACACACACUGGGUGUGUGCUGCUGUCACAAAAAAAGAGAGUAUUAAAGUAAUAGAUUAAACAAGCCAGGCUAUAUAACUACUCUUUAUGUGGUUUACAUUAUCAUGAUCCAUUGACACUACGAACAUUCAGAAUGAAAUUGCACAAAACUCUCAAUCACUGCCUGCCUUUACUGUAAAAAAUGCAGCAUUUUUGUCAAAUCAACAUUUUAAGGGAAACCAUUUCAACUUAUUUUUAUAUAAGUUAUGUCAACUUAUCACAGGUCAAAACUUAAAAUAGUAGGUUGAAUUGACUUGCAAAACCAAGUUUACCCUGUGCAGAGAGUUGUUGAUAAAUCCCCCUGUUGAAUGACCCAGAAACAAAUCAAACUGCUCUUUCCCAGUUUUCUGAUUGACAUCUGUUGAACACAAAUCUGACUGUGAUGCUCCAUCUUUACUCUCCAGGAGCACAGCCAGCCCCGAGAUACAAACCCUUAGCAUUCAACAUAUGGAUUCAUUUCCUCUGACUCAUAAAACUGAGAUUUACACAACCAAGCAGAACUGACAUUCAUCUUAUAGGACCACCAGAUUCAGAUCACACGCUGCCAGUAAUGC